UCACAGCAGCUGCCGUGGCCCUGCGGUGGGAGGGGAGCUGCCAAGCGUGGCCAUCCCUGGUCGGUUCCACUGGGAGAGGAGAGGAGGUCACCAGGCCAUGUUGGUGUGCCACGUUGGGUAUACUUGUCCUUACCAACCUCCUCAACUACCCAAACAUUUGCAAGACUGCUCGAUGUUUUAAGGACCUGUAAGGAGGCUGAGGAAUAAGACGUCUGACACAGAGAACUGUGGCUGAAACCUUCCUAAGACUGCUGCCAUUGUGCAAACCAAGUGCACACCAGUAGGAGAGCAGUGCCACAACCGAGCAAUGGCACAAAGCAUCACAGGAGGGGGAGAGAUGGAUGGAAAAAGUAGAGCGAGGUGCAAGUUUCUGCACAGCUGGAGCACAGCUACGGCGCUGGAGAAACAUCUGCAUAGAGCACAGAGCCCUUC
rnacentral:lncRNA from 1 species